UGGCUCAGGAUGAACGCAGCGACAGGCUUAACACAUGCAAGUCGAGGGGCAGCGGGGGUGAUGGCUUGCCAUCACCUGCCGGCGACCGGCGCACGGGUGAGUAACACGUAUGCAACCUGCCCGCCACAGGGGGAUAAGCGGAAGAAAUUCCGUCUAAUACCGCGUGACGCGGCGCCGGGGCAUCCCGGUGCCGCCAAAGGGAUUACCGGUGGCGGAUGGGCAUGCGGCGCAUUAGCUAGUCGGCGGGGUAACGGCCCACCGAGGCGACGAUGCGUAGGGGUUCUGAGAGGAAGGUCCCCCACACUGGUACUGAGACACGGACCAGACUCCUACGGGAGGCAGCAGUGAGGAAUAUUGGUCAAUGGGCGCGAGCCUGAACCAGCCAAGUCGCGUGAGGGAUGACGGUCCUACGGAUUGUAAACCUCUUUUGCCGGGGAGCAAGCGUGCGUUCGUGAACGCGCGUCGAGAGUACCCGGAGAAAAAACAUCGGCUAACUCCGUGCCAGCAGCCGCGGUAAUACGGAGGAUGCGAGCGUUAUCCGGAUUUAUUGGGUUUAAAGGGUGCGUAGGCGGGAUGCCAAGUCAGCGGUAAAAAUGCGGUGCUCAACGCCGUCGAGCCGUUGAAACUGGCGUUCUUGAGUGGGCGAGAAGUAUGCGGAAUGCGUGGUGUAGCGGUGAAAUGCAUAGAUAUCACGCAGAACUCCGAUUGCGAAGGCAGCAUACCGGCGCCCUACUGACGCUGAGGCACGAAAGCGUGGGUAUCGAACAGGAUUAGAUACCCUGGUAGUCCACGCAGUAAACGAUGAAUGCUAACUGUCCGGCUCGAAUGAGCGCUGGGCGGUACAGCGAAAGCGUUAAGCAUUCCACCUGGGGAGUACGCCGGCAACGGUGAAACUCAAAGGAAUUGACGGGGGCCCGCACAAGCGGAGGAACAUGUGGUUUAAUUCGAUGAUACGCGAGGAACCUUACCCGGGCUCAAACGCAGGAUGACGGGUCCCGAAAGGGGUCUUUCUUCGGACAUUCUGCGAGGUGCUGCAUGGUUGUCGUCAGCUCGUGCCGUGAGGUGUCGGCUUAAGUGCCAUAACGAGCGCAACCCCUGUCCACAGUUGCCAGCAGGUAAAGCUGGGGACUCUGUGGAGACUGCCGGCGCAAGCUGCGAGGAAGGCGGGGAUGACGUCAAAUCAGCACGGCCCUUACGUCCGGGGCGACACACGUGUUACAAUGGCAGGUACAGCGGGAUGCCACGGGGCGACCCGGCGCUGAACCCGAAAACCUGUCUCAGUUCGGAUUGGAGUCUGCAACCCGACUCCAUGAAGCUGGAUUCGCUAGUAAUCGCGCAUCAGCCACGGCGCGGUGAAUACGUUCCCGGGCCUUGUACACACCGCCCGUCAAGCCAUGGAAGCCGGGGGCACCUGAAGUGCGUGACCGCGAGGAGCGCCCUAGGGUAAAACCGGUGACUGGGGCUAAGUCGUAACAAGGUA
rnacentral:rRNA from 1 species